rnacentral:tRNA from 1 species
GGCCCUAUCGUCUAGCGGUUAGGACGGAGCCCUCUCAAGGCUCAGACCGGGGCUCGAGUCCCCGUAGGGUCA